AAUAUGUUAGUUUAAUUAAAACAUUAAAUUGUAAAUUUAAAAAUAUAUUUUGCAUAUUA
rnacentral:tRNA from 1 species